rnacentral:rRNA from 1 species
UACAGAGGAGCCAAGCGUUGUCCGGAUUGACUGGGCGUAAAGCGCACGCAGGCGGUCUUGCGCGUGGGGUGUGAAAUCUGGCCGCUUAACGGCCAGGCGCCAUCCCAUACGGCUCGACUGGAGUGAUGCAGAAGUCGAUGGAAUUGCCGGUGUAGUGGUGAAAUGCGUAGAGAUCGGGAGGAACACCAGUGGCGAAGGCGGCCUUCUGGACCAAUACUGACGCUCAUGCACGAAAGCGUGGGGAGCAAACAGG